rnacentral:tRNA from 1 species
GCGAGCGUAGUUUAAUGGUAGAACCUUAGCCUUCCAAGCUAAUGACGUGGGUUCGAUUCCCAUCGCUCGCUCCA